rnacentral:rRNA from 1 species
CCUACGGGAGGCAGCAGUGAGGAAUAUUGGUCAAUGGACGAGAGUCUGAACCAGCCAAGUAGCGUGAAGGAUGACUGCCCUAUGGGUUGUAAACUUCUUUUAUAUGGGAAUAAAAUGUUCCACGUGUGGGAUUUUGUAUGUACCAUAUGAAUAAGGAUCGGCUAACUCCGUUCCAGCAGCCGCGGUCAUACGGAGGAUCCGAGCGUUCUCCGGAUUUAUUGGGGUUAAAGGGAGCGUAGGUGGAUUGUUAAGUCAGUUGUGAAAGUUUGCGGCUCAACCGUAAAAUUGCAGUUGAAACUGGCAGUCUUGAGUACAGUAGAGGUGGGCAGAAUUCGUGGUGUAGCGGUGAAAUGCUUAGAUAUCACGAAGAACUCCGAUUGCGAAGGCAGUUCACUGGACUGCAACUGACACUGAGGCUCGAAAGUGUGGGUAUCAAACAGGAUUAGAUACCCCAGUAGUC